rnacentral:rRNA from 1 species
GGAAUACCAGUGGCGAAGGCGGCCCCCUGGACAAAGACUGACGCUCAGAUGCGAAAGCGUGGGUAGCAAACAGGAUUAGAUACCCUGGUAGUCCACGCCGUAAACGCUGUCUACUUGGAGGUUGAGGUUUUAGACUUUGGCUUUCGGCGCUAACGCAUUAAGUAGACCGCCUGGGGAGUACGGCCGCAAGGUUAAAACUCAAAUGAAUUGACGGGGGCCCGCACAAGCGGUGGAGCAUGUGGUUUAAUUCGAUGCAACGCGAAGAACCUUACCUACUCUUGACAUCCAGCGAAGCCUUUAGAGAUAGAGGUGUGCCUUCGGGAGCGCUGAGACAGGUGCUGCAUGGCUGUCGUCAGCUCGUGUUGUGAAAUGUUGGGUUAAGUCCCGCAACGAGCGCAACCCUUAUCCUUGUUUGCCAGCGAGUAAUGUCGGGAACUCCAGGGAGACUGCCGGUGAUAAACCGGAGGAAGGUGGGGACGACGUCAAGUCAUCAUGGCCCUUACGAGUAGGGCUACACACGUGCUACAAUGGCGCAUACAGAGGGCGGCCAACUUGCGAAAGUGAGCGAAUCCCAAAAAGUGCGUCGUAGUCCGGAUUGGAGUCUGCAACUCGACUCCAUGAAGUCGGAAUCGCUAGUAAUCGUGGAUCAGAAUGCCACGGUGAAUACGUUCCCGGGCCUUGUACACACCGCCCGU